rnacentral:tRNA from 1 species
GCCUGGGUGGCUCAGUCGGCUGGGCGUCCGACUUCAGCUCGGGUCACGAUCUCGCAGUCCGUGAGUUCGAGCCCCGCGUCAGGCU